ACAACAAAAUCCGCAUGGAUUUUGUUUGAAAGGUGGCUUCGGCUAUCACUUCUGGAUGAUCCCGCGGCGUAUUAGUUAGUUGGUGAGGUAAAGGCCCACCAAGACGAUGAUACGUAGCCGACCUGAGAGGGUAAUCGGCCACAUUGGGACUGAGACACGGCCCAAACUCCUACGGGAGGCAGCAGUAGGGAAUCUUCCACAAUGGACGAAAGUCUGAUGGAGCAAUGCCGCGUGAGUGAAGAAGGGUUUCGGCUCGUAAAACUCUGUUGUUAAAGAAGAACACCUUUGAGAGUAACUGUUCAAGGGUUGACGGUAUUUAACCAGAAAGCCACGGCUAACUACGUGCCAGCAGCCGCGGUAAUACGUAGGUGGCAAGCGUUGUCCGGAUUUAUUGGGCGUAAAGCGAGCGCAGGCGGUUUUUUAAGUCUGAUGUGAAAGCCUUCGGCUUAACCGGAGAAGUGCAUCGGAAACUGGGAGACUUGAGUGCAGAAGAGGACAGUGGAACUCCAUGUGUAGCGGUGGAAUGCGUAGAUAUAUGGAAGAACACCAGUGGCGAAGGCGGCUGUCUAGUCUGUAACUGACGCUGAGGCUCGAAAGCAUGGGUAGCGAACAGGAUUAGAUACCCUGGUAGUCCAUGCCGUAAACGAUGAGUGCUAAGUGUUGGAGGGUUUCCGCCCUUCAGUGCUGCAGCUAACGCAUUAAGCACUCCGCCUGGGGAGUACGACCGCAAGGUUGAAACUCAAAGGAAUUGACGGGGGCCCGCACAAGCGGUGGAGCAUGUGGUUUAAUUCGAAGCUACGCGAAGAACCUUACCAGGUCUUGACAUCUUCUGCCAAUCUUAGAGAUAAGACGUUCCCUUCGGGGACAGAAUGACAGGUGGUGCAUGGUUGUCGUCAGCUCGUGUCGUGAGAUGUUGGGUUAAGUCCCGCAACGAGCGCAACCCUUAUUAUCAGUUGCCAGCAUUCAGUUGGGCACUCUGGUGAGACUGCCGGUGACAAACCGGAGGAAGGUGGGGAUGACGUCAAAUCAUCAUGCCCCUUAUGACCUGGGCUACACACGUGCUACAAUGGACGGUACAACGAGUCGCGAAGUCGUGAGGCUAAGCUAAUCUCUUAAAGCCGUUCUCAGUUCGGAUUGUAGGCUGCAACUCGCCUACAUGAAGUUGGAAUCGCUAGUAAUCGCGGAUCAGCAUGCCGCGGUGAAUACGUUCCCGGGCCUUGUACACACCGCCCGUCACACCAUGAGAGUUUGUAACACCCAAAGCC
rnacentral:rRNA from 2 species